CCCUUAGAUGUUCUGGGCCGCACGCGCGCUACACUGAUGCAUUCAACGAGUCCAACCUUGACCGAGAGGUCCGGGUAAUCUUUGAAACUGCAUCGUGAUGGAGCUAGAUUAUUGCAAUUAUUAAUCUUCAACGAGGAAUGCCUAGUAAGCGUGAUUCAUCAAAUCGCGUUGAUUACGUCCCUGCCCUUUGUACACACCGCCCGUCGCUCCUACCGAUUGAAUGCUCAGGUGAGCCAUUCGGACUUUCAUCAUGCUGGUUUCCAGUUUUGAUGAAGGAAAGUCUUGCGAACCUUAUCAUUUAGAGGAAGGAGAAGUCGUAACA
rnacentral:rRNA from 1 species